GAUGAAACGUAGCGAAACGCGAUAUGUAAUGUGAAUUGCAGAAUUCAGUGAAUCAUCGAAUCUUUGAACGCACAUGGCGCCUUCCAGUAUCCUGGGAGGCAUGCCUGUCCGAGCGUCGUUUCAACCCUCGAGCCCCCGUGGCCCGGCGUUGGGGAUCUGCCACGGCAGGCCCCUAAAACCAGUGGCGGACCCGAAGGCCCUCUCCUUUGCGCAGUAGCAUCAGCCUCGCAUUGGGAUCCCUCGGCGUCCUGCCUCUAAACCCCCCACAAGUCCGCUCCGGCGGCACCAAGGUUGACCUCGGAUCAGGUAGGAAUACCCGCUGAACUUAAGCAUAUCAAUAAGCGGAGGA
rnacentral:misc_RNA from 1 species